GGAGGCUCGCCGGACUGGGUUUUUUAACCCUCUUCGGAGCCGAUUCGAAGGCAAAGUAAGCCCUCACCUUCCUAUUUCCUUUUUGUAAAUUUAAACACCAAAUCGGAAAAGGAAAAUAACUCUAAAAUAUUAAAAAAAACUAAUAAACACCUUAAAAAGAAAACGAUGUUGAUUUAUUCUCUAUUGAUUUUCUUUGCAUAUUCUUUUUCUCUCUAUUUCUGUCUCUGUUUAAGCUCCAAAAAUCCCCCCC
rnacentral:lncRNA from 1 species